rnacentral:rRNA from 1 species
UACGAAGGGGGCUAGCGUUGUUCGGAAUUACUGGGCGUAAAGCGCGCGCAGGCGGUCUUCCAAGUCAGUGGUGAAAGCCCGGAGCUCAACUCCGGAACUGCCAUUGAAACUUUAAGACUUGAGGAUGAGAGAGGUGAGUGGAAUUCCCAGUGUAGAGGUGAAAUUCGUAGAUAUUGGGAAGAACACCGAUGGCGAAGGCAGCCAUCUGGACCGACACUGACGCUGAGGCGCGAAAGCGUGGGGAGCAAACAGG